rnacentral:rRNA from 1 species
UUGGUUGUCGUCAGCUCGUGUCGUGAGAUGUUGGGUUAAGUCCCGCAACGAGCGCAACCCCUAUUGUUAGUUGCCAUCAUUCAGUUAGGCACUCUAGCGAGACUGCCGGUGUCAAACCGGAGGAAGGUGGGGAUGACGUCAAGUCCUCAUGGCCUUUAUGACCAGGGCUACACACGUACUACAAUGGCCGGUACAAAGGGCAGCCACUUAGCGAUAAGGAGCCAAUCCCGUAAAGCCGGUCUCAGUCCGGAUUGGAGUCUGCAACUCGACUCCAUGAAGUUGGAAUCGCUAGUAAUCGCAGAUCAGCACGCUGCGGUCGAAUACGUUCCCGGGCCUU